GCCUGAUGCCAGAAGGCAGAAACUGGAAAUCAGCAUGUAAGGGAUGAGAAGUAUCAGCAAUAAUGUCUUUAGUUUUCCUAAUGAUUUGUUUUUUACACAGUUCUGUAAGUGAGAAUUGUUCUUAUUGCUAGUAUGUAUUACUCUGCUAAGGGCAUUUUUUGGUCUAAUACUGAGAUUCCCAAACCAACACAGAGGGGAAAAGGUCAACACAGAUUCAAUAUAUGAUCUAUAAAAUAGGAUCAUCAAUGACUUAUCAGCUUGAAACUUUACGAGCCUCCUUAGACAAAAUAAUCUUUGCUGGCCCUUUUUUUUGCCAAGUUUUUUUUGCAGGAUUUUCUGAA